rnacentral:tRNA from 1 species
GCCUGGGUGGCUCAGUCGGUUGAGCGUCCGACUUCGGCUCAGGUCACGAUCUCGCGGUCCGUGGGUUCGAGCCCCGCGUCGGGCU